ACAUGCCUACAGCAUAGCGUUAAUGCACUUGAUCCCAUUAGAACUCUAUAUUUAAGCGCACUCAUGCUAGAGUAUUAUUGGGAUGGGUGACCUCCUGAGAAGUCCUAGUAUUUUACAUGCC
rfam:Picea glauca, whole genome shotgun sequence.